rnacentral:misc_RNA from 1 species
UUAAGUUCAGCGGGUAUCCCUACCUGAUCCGAGGUCACUCGAAAUGGGAAAUUGGGUUGUGCAAGUAACCACUUGGAUCUCCAAAGCGAGAAGAAUUACUACGCUUGAAGCCAAAUGGCACCGCCACUGAUUUUAAGACCUGCCAGAAACUGGCAAUGUCCAAUACCAAGCAAAGCUUGAGGGUUGUAAUGACGCUCGAA